rfam:Peniophora sp. CONT PENSPscaffold_149_Cont228, whole genome shotgun sequence.
GCCGCCUUGGCGUAGUGGUAGCGCGUCCCACUUGUAUCCUUCGGGAACGCGAUGGGAAGGUCACUAGUUCAAUCCUGGUAGGUGGCA